rnacentral:rRNA from 1 species
AUUGAACGCUGGCGGCAUGCUUUACACAUGCAAGUCGAACGGUAACAGAGAAAAGCUUGCUUUUCUGCUGACGAGUGGCGAACGGGUGAGUAAUACAUCGGAACGUACCCUGUAGUGGGGGAUAACUACUCGAAAGAGUAGCUAAUACCGCAUACAACCUGAGGGUAAAAGUGGGGGACCGCAAGGCCUCACGCUAUAGGAGCGGCCGAUGGAAGAUUAGGUAGUUGGUAGGGUAAAGGCCUACCAAGCCGACGAUCUUUAGCGGGGCUGAGAGGACGAUCCGCCACACUGGGACUGAGACACGGCCCAGACUCCUACGGGAGGCAGCAGUGGGGAAUUUUGGACAAUGGGCGAAAGCCUGAUCCAGCAAUGCCGCGUGAGUGAAGAAGGCCUUCGGGUUGUAAAGCUCUUUUGUUUGGGAAGAAAUCCCUAAGGAUAAUACCCUUGGGGGAUGACGGUACCAAAAGAAUAAGCACCGGCUAACUACGUGCCAGCCGCCGCGGUAA